CUAAAAUAGACCCUUUCUAGGUCUCAAUUUAAUCUCAGAACAAACAUCUGCUACUUUGAAGAACUUCAAACUUCCAGGUCAUUUUGAGAUACAUUCAUAAUUUACUACAAUAGAUGUGUUAUCUGUUUGAGAUGUUAAUCCUGGAAGAAAAAAAAAAAGUUCCUUAAAACCUAAUGCAGUUACUAUGGUGCCACGACCAUGGUAACUGCUACCAUGGUAACUGAGUUUGUGAAGCUAACCUGCUGACUGGCAGGUUUUCUUCAGCAAACUGCGGUUUUUCCCUGAGGCUUCCUCUCUGCUUUUCAGGCUGGAGCAGCUGUCUGACACACGGUUUCUUUCCUUCCCACCCCUACAGCGUAUAUCAACACUUGGGCAGGAGCCAUCUCUGCAGACAUUUCAGGCACUUUGAAAUCCUGACCCACCGUCUGCAGCCUCCUCAUCAUCCUGGCUGUCUGGGGGACCGCAGCCAAAGUCUCCAUCAGCCAUCUGUUACCCUGUGAGAACACAAACAGCAGACAGUGGACUGGCCACAGGUGCCAGAGACCGUGGCAGCUGCGGAUGAAAGGAAUGUCUCCGACGGCCUUCAAUAUUGAGGAGAUUUGGCUUCUUGGCUUCUGUGCGGCACCUUGUUUUUGCUCUUCUGAAGUCUGGAAUUAUAGGAAUGUUCCAGCUGUGCUUAGACAGUAAAAUAAACUUUGGAAAAAAGGUAAAGAACUUGAAAACAUAGGGUUUAAAAUCACUAAAACUCAGCAUGGACACAGGUACAUUUCAGCUAUUGUUUAGUCAUCCUCUUUCAGUUCACUCUCUACCACCAGACCUUAAGUUCCAGUGUUUAUUUUUUUGACUUUCAUAAAUCUUCCACUCUUUACAUUAUUUGUGUAAUUCCAGUGGAUUCUGAAUUGGAGAAAAGCAGUUUUACACUGAUAUACAACAGGAUACAGUAAAUGUUUACGUAAUCAUUGUAAAUAUGCCGAUUCUGUCCCUCUGCACCACUAUGUAACACUUUAUGAUACUAAUCGGCUCCAU